rnacentral:rRNA from 1 species
AAACCAGCACCUCAAGUGGUCAGGAUGAUUAUUGGGCCUAAAGCAUCCGUAGCCGGCUCUGUAAGUUUUCGGUUAAAUCUGUACGCUCAACGUACAGGCUGCUGGGAAUACUGCAGGGCUAGGGAGUGGGAGAGAUAGACGGUACUCGGGAGGAAGUGGUAAAAUGCUUUGAUCUCUCGAUGACCACCUGUGGCGAAGGCGGUCUAUCAGAACACGUCCGACGGUGAGGGAUGAAAGCUGGGGGAGCAAACCGGAUUAGAAACCCGAGUAGUCC